ensembl:lncRNA
CUCGCCCCGUGUGCACUCUGUGUUUUGCACAUUUGCUUUGAGUCACACCCCACCCUGCCCCGGAGAAAAAAGGCGGAUUGUUUGGCUACCCCCCGGCUCCAUUGGCAAUAGAGAAAACAAUGCUGGUUAAGCUGCCUUGUGUUGUGAACACUCACAGAGCUGUGGUGCACACUAACACGUACGUGAUAUAUGUUUCCCUAAUGAUCAGAGAUCAUCCCAUGCCAGAGGAUGUGGCAGCAGUCAUUCUAGACAUGACAACAACGGGAAAAGUUUUGGGAUAUUUACAACAUUGUAUUACCAUGGUGGACUAGUAGUGCAGCAUAGCCUGGUUUUGUUUUGUUCUGUCUGUCUUUCUUUGCCUUAUGAAAAGCAUCUUUACGUAUUUAGAAAAGCGCAAUAUAAAAGUAUUAUUAUUAUCAUUUGACACGGUCAAAAUGGCAAAAGCCAAUCCACAGGAUGGCAGAACACUGGAUAUGAAAAGGGUAUGAAUCAUAGCAGUGACUGUGUAUUUAGGGGGGGAUGAUUUGACAACUUGGAAACAGACACUAGAACCUCUUUACUAGUUUUAUCACUCUGCACCAUACUUAUUCAGGGAAUUGCAAAAUACAACUACACUCUUCAUGUAUACGUUGGUUUCAAUUAUGCGUUUUUACAAUUGAAAUAGAUCACACAAACAAAGACAGACACAUGUAUUGUGUCUUUCUUUCUUUGUGUGAUCUAUUUCAAUUGACGUCCUCCAAUUAUUUAGGUGUUAAAUUAUGAUGGUGUAGUUGGAUUGCUCAGAUAGUACAUAGUAAACCGCAUGAUUGUUUACAUCACAUACACGUGAAAAAGGCAACAUUAGACAUAUAAACUCAUAAGAAACUGCCACAAAACAUGGAAUAACAUGUUACCUGAAAAGAGAUUUAAGGAUAAUUUAGACUUUCUCUUUUUAGGAAAACUGAGAAAAUAAUCUUUCAAAUGAAAAUCUGAGAAAUAACGACAAUUUAAUUUUCUCCAUAUUUUUCCAUGAUAUUUUGCACGACGGUAAAUAAGAUGAUUCUAACAAUGAGGCUCCCUUCCCCAUUCACUGAAGCCAGAACUCUGCUCUGCAUGAUAACAAGCUGCUAGGAACAAGAGGAACCUGACGCAGAGAUACAGAAACCGCUGUUCCCAAAGGGUUGAUAUUAAGCAUUAACCGCUCAACUGUCGUCUGGCACUCUUGCCACACUGCCAGUAUAUAAUGAAUCAAACAAGAGAAGGUUAAAAGAAGACGCCACAGAUGUUUUGGCUACUUCACAGGACUUGAGACAAUAUGCUGUAGCUGGAGUUGCAUGUAGCUCCUUGUGUAACUGUAUAGUGUGUGUGUGUGUGUGGAAAAAAGGAUUAAUAAACAAAGCGUUUAGACCGCCAUGGUUUUUGGCAAACUGGUCUCCAUAGUACACCGCUGCACCCUGUCCAAGGGGCAUACAACAAGCAAUAGACCAAUUAGUGCAUGUCAAUAAAUUGACUGGUCCCGCAUGAUUGGGUAUACUGGAAAAUACAUGCAAUGCUUUGGGGUAAUUUAAGCCUGCUCUUUGAAAUAGCCUUUUGCACACUCUCAGGACAGAGUAACAAGAGCCAGGGCCACUGAGAGUUAUAAAAGGAUAAGAUAGGAAUGGUGUCUGCAAAAUAUGACUGCAAGCCCUGCACGCAUCCACAACCUGAUCUUGUCCCUUCUGUCGCUUUCUCUUUGUCUCUGCCGGUAUGAAUUGAGUGAAGAUAUUAACAUAAAGCUAUCGACAACUCAUUACUGUAUCCAUGACAUUAUAUAUAUCUCAAACACAACAGAAAUGUGUAUGGAACGGACAAAAGGGGAAGAUAGCAGUUCCACAAAGUCAGCUUUACCCAAUUAACUCGAGCAGAUCAAAUUCCACUUAGGUCAAAUAACACUGCCAGUUAUAGUAUCUUAACCAGGCGAAAAGCAUUUCAACUUAACCAAAAGAAUGUCUGUUUUCCCCAUGGGCCAUAGCGCAGCUCAUUUUACAUACCCGCCUCCUCUCUUCAUUCAGUCAAUGAAAACAGACGAGAAUAGCUGGCAAAUCUUUCACAUGAUCUUGGUUCCCUCACUUUUUUUUGGAUUUCACAUGCUUUUCAUUACUACUUAAAACUGUACUGCACUGUUCAGUUUCAGAGGGGGGCAGUGGAUUUGAAGUAGUGUCACUCUCAAAUUAGGCACAUAUUAAUAUCGCACAUUGGUUUUUUGAAAAAUAAAAUCACCCAGAGGAAAGAGAAAGACAACAUUCGUAUUCACAAAAAUAACCAGCAGGCGGAGAGAAAACUAAUUACUGAAUGUCUCGCUCCAAUGCAUAAUUUCAGAUCACACCCUCUUACUUUCUCUAUUUUGUUACGUAACUGCGUUGCAAACCACUCUCUCUUUCUAUUCCCCACGCGGCAGCGCAUGGUUGAGAGUGAAUUAUUUGAACUGUUUUGACAUACUUCUUGCAGCGCACGGAAGUGGGGAGGGAAGGAAGGAACUUGGAUAGUAAAGGGGGGUUUAGAGGCGCGGAAAUGUUCAAGAAACCUUGAAAGGAAGCAAUGGUGUGGUUGAGAAACUACUCAGUGAAAUGUAGGCAUACAGGUUAACAGAAAGGGGUGGGAGGAAACCCUGAGUACGUUUUAAAAUACCGGGCUAUCAUUAAGGAGUUUCCUCAGCAGCUUACAAAAACUAUAGGACAUUUUGAAUGCCUGCCUCACGUGUUUUAGUUGUAUAUUUGUUGGUCUCAAGUACAAAAAUCCCUCUCGAGACAAGCAUAACAUAUGCCCUUGCAUAGCUUAACCUCUUUUGGAAAUGGAGCACAGAGAAACAAUUCACUUGACAAAGAUCGUGUGACUAUUAAUUGUGUUGUAAACAGAUGCUAUAAUAAGUAAGCCUCUGUUCUUGAGAUCAUAAGACAAGCGGGCAGUCUGUGACUCAAAGCCAUCAGGCAAUAUGAAACUCAGCCAGUCCUCCAUUCUUUCUCUUCCAUUCGCUGGUGUGCCUGAAAUUGAUGUUCCUGAUGUCACAUGUCCUUUAAUUUGAUUAACAAUAUCAUCAAACGAAUAUUUGCAGAUAAAAUCAAAAUGGAUUAUUGCCAGAAGCAUCGAAGGAAACUAUGGAGGGAGGGGGGCAAAGAUAAACAGUUGAGCUUGUUUAUCCGUCAUGUAUUAUUAUUGCCUGGUAUGUGUGUUGAGCAAGGAGGAUAUGAGGACAGCAGUGUAGGCUUGGCUGGCCUUUUGAUUUUGAGCAGAACAGGUGUUGUCUGGGGGAGGAAGGAGGUCUGCAAAGAGGGGGCACCAGGCGCAAAGGCAGCCGUGUGUCAGGUUUCCACAAGACUGCCAUUUCACAGUUCCAGGUUCGGAGGAGGCUUUGCAACAAACAGAGGUUUGGCGUCUGGCCGCGUUAUGGAACACUGUUUUAAGGUGACGCUCACUUGAUGGUCUUGAAUUAGAGUUGUUGAAAAGUUGUUUUCGUUUAUCUACUUAACCGGUAACAGUUGUGUUUUGUGGUCUUGCGUUAUUGUCUAAGGACGCUUACCUUGGAUUGCUCGAACAAGGCCAAGGCCCUCAGUCGGAUGCUGUGGUUCUUGUAUUCGUGGCUUCUGUAAGCAGAGGAAGACAGUAUUAGAAUUUAAAACAUGAUUAAAUAUUUCUUAAAUAAAAAGAACGAUAAGACUUUUA